rnacentral:rRNA from 1 species
GUCUACAGCUGGAUUACCCUGAACACACCUGAUCUCAUCAGAUCUCAGAAACUAAGUAGGGUUAGGCCUAGUUAGUACUUGGAUGGGAGAUCCCCUGGGAAUGCCAGUGCCCUAGGGG